rnacentral:rRNA from 1 species
GCCAGACUCCUACGGGAGGCAGCAGUGAGGAAUAUUGGUCAAUGGGCGAGAGCCUGAACCAGCCAAGUCGCGUGAGGGAGUACUGCCCUAUGGGUUGUAAACCUCUUUUGUCGGGGAGCAAAAGCCGGACGUGUCCGUCUGUGAGAGUACCCGAAGAAAAAGCAUCGGCUAACUCCGUGCCAGCAGCCGCGGUAAUACGGAGGAUGCGAGCGUUAUCCGGAUUUAUUGGGUUUAAAGGGUGCGCAGGCGGAUUUUUAAGUCAGGGGUCAAAUCGUGGGGCUCAACCCCAUCCAGCCGUUGAAACUGGGAUCUAGAGUGUGCGAGAGGUAUGCGGAAUGCGUGGUGUAGCGGUGAAAUGCAUAGAUAUCACGCAGAACCCCGAUUGCGAAGGCAGCAUACCGGUGCACAACUGACGCUCAGGCACGAAAGCGUGGGUAUCGAACAGGAUUAGAUACCCCCGUA